CCCGCUGAACUUAAGCAUAUCAAUAAGCGGAGGAAAAGAAACCAACAGGGAUUGCCCUAGUAACGGCGAGUGAAGCGGCAACAGCUCAAAUUUGAAAUCUGGCCUCGGCCCGAGUUGUAAUUUGCAGAGGAUGUUUCUGGCGCGGUGCCUUCCGAGUUCCCUGGAACGGGACGCCACAGAGGGUGAGAGCCCCGUAUGGUUGGACACCAAGCCUGUGUGAAACUCCUUCGACGAGUCGAGUAGUUUGGGAAUGCUGCUCUAAAUGGGAGGUAAAUCUCUUCUAAAGCUAAAUACCGGCCAGAGACCGAUAGCGCACAAGUAGAGUGAUCGAAAGAUGAAAAGCACCUUGAAAAGGGGGUUAAACAGUACGUGAAAUUGUUGAAAGGGAAGCGCUCAUGACCAGACUUGUGCCGGGCGGUUCAUCCGGGGUUCUCCCCGGUGCACUCCGCCCGGUUCAGGCCAGCAUCGGUUCUCGUUGGGGGAUAAGAACGGUAGGAACGUGGCCCUCCCUCGGGAGGGUGUUAUAGCCUGCCGUACGAUACCCUGAUGGGGACCGAGGUUCGCGCUCCGCAAGGAUGCUGGCGUAAUGGUCAUCAGCGACCCGUCUUGAAACACGGACCAAGGAGUCGUCCAUUAGAGCGAGCGUUUGGGUGUAAAACCCGCACGCGUAAUGAAAGUGAAAUUAGGUGAGAGCUUCGGCGCAUCAUCGACCGAUCCUGAUGUUCUCGGAUGGAUUUGAGUAAGAGUUUUAACGGACGGACCCGAAAGACAGUGAACUAUGCUUGUAUAGGGUGAAGCCAGAGGAAACUCUGGUGGAGGCUCGCAGCGGUUCUGACGUGCAAAUCGAUCGUCAAAUAUGAGCAUGGGGGCGAAAGACUAAUCGAACUGUCUAGUAGCUGGUUACCGCC
rnacentral:rRNA from 2 species